GGCUUGAAACAUUAUGCCGGCCACGGUUUCGUGUGUUAGUGCAUGAUGUUCUGGCCAUCUUUCCAAUUGCUGCUUGCUAUUCUUCGUUGAAUGGUAAGUGGUAUUGGAUCUUUUACUUUGAAAAAAUUAGAGUGUUUAAAGCAGGCUUAAUGCUAUGAAUACAUUAGCAUGGAAUAAUAAUUUAGGACUUCGGUUCUAUUUUGUUGGUUUCUAGGACUGAAGUA
rnacentral:rRNA from 1 species